ACUAACGCAUUCCUAAUUCCUAAAUAAUCAAAAGACAAAAUCAUAGAAACCCUAACGCCUAAACCAGCAGCCACCGCCCACCGGCCACCAGUCCUCGUCGUCGUCAACUUCCACCAGCCACCGGUCUCCCACUCGCCGUCUCGUCUCUCCCUCUCGCGGCUUCUUAUCUUCUUAUCCAGGAGCAAGCUCUAGCGUGUCUUCAAGAUUGGCUUCGAAAUGAAAAAUUAAAACAACCCAUUAGUGUUGAGGAAGAUCUUGAUAAAAUCGAGCAGCUUGAACAAGAUUUAGCCAGCAAUGGAAAAGACCCUUCCGUAAUUGACGGGUAGUGUUAAUAUAUUUG